GGCUGCUCCCAUGGUUGUGGAUUAUCAGAAUUUAUUAACAUUAGUGUCACUAAAGUUGGUAUACAACCCCCCACUGCUAAAUUUGUCUGGUUAAAA
rnacentral:Y_RNA from 1 species